UCUGUUCCGCUCUGCAGCCUCAGGAGUGCCCACCUGACCAGGCGGUAAGGUCUCUUUCCCAUGGGGUCUGGGAGCAGAGAGCUGCUGCGGGCCGGGAUCCGCAGGUGUGGGAGAAGCACUUUUUUAAAUUAACAAUUUUGAGGCAAGGCCUAGACCAUUGCUUAUGGUGCUAUGAGAGAGCAGGGGGUCCUGCCAUGUUUAAAAGAUCUAGCUGCACAAGCUUUGGUGAGCACACUAGUAAAAAGAAGUCUUCCAUGGCCUAUGCUUGGGUUACUGCAUUCAGGUUCCUUACCUAAGUUUCCUUUGAUGUACUAUAAACCAUAAGCAGAAAUAAACCUUUUCCUUCUCCAGUUGAUUUUGGUCAUCAUCGUUCUCAACUAUCAGAAAAAGAGAAAGCUAACUUAAACAUCGGUAUGUACAUUUUUAUGACUUGAUCCUCUUCCCUUUCUUCUGAACUGAAAUGUGAGACAGAGUUAAGUGUAAACUAAUCUGAAUGCAGACCUUCAAAACAAGAUACUGAGGUUGAAUUUGGUAGAGUUAUACAAAGGAAAAGGAAGACAAUAGUGUGUGUGUGUGUGUGUGGGUGUGUGUGUGUGUGUGUGUCUGUGUGUGUGAGAGAGAGAGAGAGAGAGACAGAGACAGAGACAGAGACAGAGGCAGAAAAAAACAGAUUCAUAGAGAAGAGACAAAGAGGACAGAAAGACACCCACAUAUGUAUAUGGGGGGGGGAGAGAGAGAGAGAGAGAGAGAGAGAGAGAGAGAGAGAGAGAAUUUGAAUGUUUUACAGAUGGGAAAAAUAGUUUCUCUGGACUUGGACUACUGAAAGUUAUUAAUUGAAAGUUCAUCUCUUCAAAAAAUCAUCCACUCUUUCCUCCAGUUAUAGAUGAGGAGUUUUCUGAAAGUCACAAAUAAUGGGGUUAUGAGUACCCCACUAUUCCCCAUUAAAGGAAAGAAUCCCUUCUCCCUCUUACUGCUCCUGGUGGUUACAUCAAGGCAUUCUUGGCUUGUGACUAAAGCACUCCAAUCCCUGACUUGUCUCUAUUUUAUAUUCCCUUCCACGAUGUAUUUUUAUAAAGACAUGACUGAAGAAUUCAUAGCUCAUAUUAAUCUAGUGUAAUCACAUUCCAAGUCACCAUCAUACAGACCGUUGUUAAUAAUACCCUUAAGAAUGUGGUAUCAUUCUGAGCUUCUGGGAAUUGGGUUUUUACCAUAUAUUCUUGAGACUCAAUUGAAUUCAUGGUUGAAAUGUUCUUUUUUCUUGGUUACAUUCCCCUAAAGUGCUAACAUUCCUUACAGUUACAGUUAAAAGUGUUUCUUCUUUAGUGAAAUGAUGUUAGAUGUGUUUGUAUGAGCAUGCAUUCAUGGACGGGCUCUAUUUGUAUCUGCAGAGUUUGGAUCUGGCAUCCUCUGUAAAAGUUCAUGGGCUAAAGGAUUGUUCUGAAGUUCAUCACUCUGGAGAACUGUCAGAAUCUUCAAAGUGUGGAAUCUUUUGGCAGGAAGCUAUGAGGUGUGUUCUAUAAGGGCAUAUUAUGAGUCACUAUCAUUCUAUCUAUGCCACCUAGAUACCAUAAACUGUACAGCUUUGGUCUACCACACACAGUCAAUCAUCAUGGUACUCAGGCCUCAAAGCACCAGAUGAGCCAAAUGUGGACCAAGGUCUCCAAAACUAACCACGGAGAGGGAAAUGGAAGAGACCGAGUUGCUGAAAAUUUCCCAAAGAUCCACAAAUUUGCCAAAGUGAAGGAUCCAGGACUAUCCAGGUUGUCAAACUAUCUUUCUUCUUAGAAAAGAAAAAAGAAAGGAGGUUUGAGAGCGUAGCUUAUAAGACAUUGGAGUUUACAGUAGCCGGUGGAUGCUUGGGAUAAAUGAUAUUUGUUAGAGUCAAUAGCCUGGGAGUCCUGCAGUUGAGCAAGAGAAAGACGUGGCCCAUGAUUUUUGCCAAAACUCCAAGGGAAGGCAAAGAAAAGGGAAAAGGCUAUCAUUCCUCAGGCAGAGUUCAACAGGAAGAGAAAGCAAUGUUCUCUGCACAUGAAGUUCCAGGCUGACAUGAGAGUCCUUCAAAAUGCUAGCCACAGGACUUUCCUGAACACAUUGGAGUUUCAUGGGUUUGCCAUAUCAUAAAGCUAAUUAGGCCCAGGCAGAAAGAAGCUCAACAUUCCAAAACCCAGCUAGUUUCUUUAAGAGGUACUGAAAAUUGAACACAAUCCCCUGCUUGUGAGGACUCCUAAGUGAACCCUACAGCUGUCAUUUAUUUUGUAGCAACACCACCACCACCACUACCACAACCAGCACCGCCACCAACAACGACAACAAGAAAAGUAAUAUAAAAAGCCUGUAAGAAGUCUCUCUGGUCGUCUCAUAAUUCUUGGACACUGCUGAUCUGCAACCAAUGUGCACCAUUAUCUAAGGCCAACUUUAAGUUCUUCAAGUUGGAUUUUGCUUCAUGUACACCUGGAAGAGAAGGUGUUUACCAUGGCAGGAGGCACAUUUCCCUGAGACAGGCUGACUGAGUUAAAGACCAGAGACUCUAGUGCUAGACUUGUAAUUCUGAGUAAAAAUUCUGGUUCAGAAUGCACAAGAUACAAUUCACAGACCACAUGAAGCUCAACAAGAAGGAAGACCAAAAUGUGGAUGCUUCAGUCCUUCUUAGAAGGGGGAAUAAAAUACUCAUGCGAGGAAAUACAGGGACAACGUAUGGAGCAAAGACUGAAGGAAAGGCCAUCCAGAGACUGUCCCACCUGGGGAUCCAUACCAUAUGCAGCCACCAAACCCAGUCACUAUUGCUGAUGACAAAGAAAAGAUCUCUAUUGCCAAAGGGUACAGCAUUCCUGAAGAGAAAUAGUCUUUCUUCAGCUGAUGUUAACUGUCUCCUCAAAACCUUCCAUAUUAAGCAGAAACAUGUGUCUGAUGCCUCCUUAUCUUUUGUUCAUCCAUUCCUCCACCUGAAGCAGAAUGUGAAGACUGACAAUCCAACUGAAUUUGUCUGAUGUUUUCUCUCAUGAUUGCAAUGGGGUAAUGGAUUUUGUGAACACCAAGGAGAACUAUGAUAUUCAUCCACAUGAGAAUACUGGCAUAUUAGCAUCACCUUGUGGAGGAAACUAAAGGAGAUCAGACACACAUCACCUGACACCUCUUUUGUCAUCUAAUAGAGUACACGCAUCGAAGAAAUGACUUCUAUAGUGAGAACAGACACCCCACAAACAACACUGUAAGGAUCAGCAAAAUCAAGCAAGAAGAAUAGUUAGCAACUAUAAAUAUAGUUUCUCAAUUUGCUUCAUGUAAAUUUGAGAAAUAUGCUGUCGUGGCAUAAGAAAAUAUUACCCCAGAGAGGACAUCUGAGCCAACUGCUCCCACACACAGAAUUCCAGGCAGGCAACAGCAAUUCCUGAUGUGGGUAGCUGAAAGCCUCCUUCUUCACAGUAAAGGCUUCUUUGGUUCUGUAUACCUGUAUUUUAUGACCACUAUCCAUAUGAUGCGUAUCAUUUGAGGACUGGGUUAUCUCACUCAAGAUGAUAUUCUCAAGCUCCAUCCAUUUGCCUACAAGAAAUUAUUUGUUCUUGGUUUCCUGAGGAAGAGACAAUAAAUAUAGGAACCUGGAAUAAAGAUGAAGAAAGACUUCAAAAUUAUUAUGAUGUACAUGGACCAGGUAAUGUUCCUGUAGAUGCUUUCAGUCUUUGGGCUAGGAGACUGAAAUGAGUUUCAGAGAAGCAUCCUCCCCCUCUGUCCAGGGAUACCUUGGUGAAGAAAAGAGAAAGCUUGUGGUAGAGGCACCAUCACUGUGCUUUCCAUAGAUGACUUGUGAUUCAACCCAGCCAGUUAGGGUUUAAGAAAAAGGUGUUUAUGGAAAAGGUUUGAGAUUGACAAAUGCAAAAGAGAGAGGUUAGAGCAUGUGAAAGAACUUAGAUGAUGAUUAUUUAGAAAUAAAAAUGCUUCAGAUGAAAGACGUUUAAAGUUGGUAAUUCAGAUAAAGAUGAUGAAAGUUGGUAAGUGCAGGUUAUAAAUGUUGGAGGGUCUAAGAAGAUGUUUUAGGGUCUAUAAAUGCAAGGUAUAGAGAUGCAAGGAAGAUUUUUUUUAAAAAAAUAGGAAGUAUUUCAUAUUCUCCCCACAUGCUAUUGUUAUUUUAAAGUUCAGAUUUUUAACAUUGAUCAAUGGAGUUUUGAUAAGCUAACGGAACAUUGGCAGUUUACAAUUCAGUCACAAGCUCAAAAUUUUAAUUUCCUUUGGUUGUCUUCUGAAUAUAAACUUAAAGAUGCUUCUCAUCAUACUAAAAAAAAAAACUCCGUUUAAUCUAUAUAUUAUAGCUGCAAACCUAUAGCUUUCACUACUUUUCAAAUGUAUAAGUCCACUCCUUUUGUCUAUCAGACACCUGCUAACUACUUUUCCUAAAAUAAAUAUCACACACAGACGUUCCUGGACUUAACACGAUAUAUAUGUAGAAAAUAGCAGCCAAAAUAGAGGGAGGAGGGAAGGGUAUGUGGGAGUGUUUGGUGGGAGGAAAGGCAAGGAAGAAAUAUUGUAACUGUAAUCUCGAACAAGCAAACAAAUAAAUACAUAGUUUACAAAAUAAACUGAAAAGUCAUGAGUCUAGAAAAGAGACUU